CAAUUUUCUCAUACAUCCUUCCUUCUGGUAACUAACACCUCUUCACGCAACCACCGUAACAACUACUCCUCCCACCAUCUGACCCUUCCCUCCACCGCCGGUCCACCGCAGCACCCACCUUUCUGGCAGCGGAGAUAUCCAGGGAGGGCGGAAGUGACGGAGAUGUCGUUGAGUGAUGACAUCGCUGGGCAAAGGCGGCGGCACUAGUUAGCGAGGAGUUUCGGAUAAUGAUCAGUUCAAAAUCUAUCCAUUUGUUUACUUAAUCAGUUCUAAUUAAUACCCAAUUUUAGAGAGAAAUUGAAAAAAUGGGUGUUAAAUUCGGAAAAUCUCCAGUCCAUAUUCUAAUUGCGACGAUUGUUCUUCAUUUCACCAUUCGUAUUACCUCUUCAACUUCAAAUCAGGAAAGUCUUAAUAACUAUAAUGGUGACUACAUGAAGCACAGCACCAGUUCCUCUCCUUGUUUUGCAAGAUAUGCUCUGGAGUCGUUUUCCAGGGAAUAUGAUAGCUUCACCGAUUCAAAUUUUUUAGAGUAUAUGAAACAUAAGAUUCUAGUUGGCUCUGAGCCAACAUUUUCUAAACUUUUACAAUUAGAGCGCCGUUUGAUUGGAGAGGGUUCUCAUCGCCGUCUAUCUUCAUCUGUCAGAUUAAGCAUUCAGCCAAAUCUGAUUGCUGACUUUUCCUCACAAAUGUGUGAGAUCAUAAUCAUUGAAAGACUACCAUCUGGGGUUUUUGCUGAUCCUUUUGAGCUUCAACAUCUAAUUUACCGUGGAGCAUUCAAGGAUGCUUAUGUUUUCGGAGAUGCUAAUUUGGAGUUGCCAUCCUUUCUUUCCAAUCAGUCAAUUGUUGAAGUUCACUUAGAUACAGCCUUGAAUAAUUCAGCAGGUCAGGAGACUGUGCUAGAGUUCAAGAUAGAGAUACCAUUGCAUGCUCGAUAUCCUCCUCUGGAAGAAAGUGGAUAUUCAAAAGUCAGGUUUGGUGCUCCUGACUUGUAUAUGUACUGCAAAAUGCAUGGAACGUCACCUGCUCAAAGCUGUUCUUUGUCACCCAUUACUAGCAACGGUUCUCUGGAACUUGAUGAUAUUGUGUGGAGCAUUCCAGCGGGGAUCAAGUCUCACUCAAGAACAGUGUCUGUUGUUACUUACGCGUCAGCACUACUGUCAGCAACUUUAAUCAUCUUUUUUUCCUUGCGAUCUUCACGCAUAGAAUGUGAUGGAAAAUCGAAACAAACUUGAUAACCAAUAACAGUCAGACUGUCCUAUGCCUAAUCCAGUGGGGGACAACCAGAUCUAUGAGGGUUUUCACCUGGAGCCCGUCUGCAUGAGUCCAUGACAAUAUCUGUCAUUGAAUUUCUACCAACAGUCCUGCGAGGAGCUCAGGAAUUGGAAAAGGUGUUGCCUGCUUCCAUUUGCCAAGAACAAUAAAAUUACACAAAUUAGAAGGUACACUCGGUUACAUGUAUUGUUUUGUAUUUUACAAUUUCAAAGCACAUAUUUUUGUUUAUUUUUUCAAAUUCUAUAAUUGAAGUACUUUUUUCCAAUUAAGAAAAAAAACCUAAACCUAAGAGGUGAGCAACCAACAACAAUUUACAUAUUCUCUCAAAUCAUUUGCGCUCAAGUUUGAAAACCCCAACUAGUUAGUGGCCCGGGGCCCGGGCGAUGUCCCAGAGUGUUUGAUAUUGUUUGAGUUUCUUUUUAAUCUUUGAGUAAUUUACAUUGUUUGUGUAAAACUUUAGUUUAUGUACUUUUUUACUUGUAAUUUAUCCUCCGUACAAAAUUUAAGUUACAACUGUAAAAUGAGUUAUAAAGUCGAAAUACUUUUGUAGGAAAAAAACACAAUUUGAUUAGCUAAAAUAAAUAACAUUAUUUUUUCUAUUAAUUUAAUUGUUUUAUGUUUGAUUUAAUGAAUAAAUAUGAAGAGAAAAAAAUUGUUAUCUUAAAUUUGGCCAUUAAAUUUUACACAUAGGUAAGAAUGAAUUUUACUUUUGUUUAAUUGUUUUAAAGUUAUAACGUAUGUUGUUGGAAAGAUGGAUAAAACUUUGUAUUAACAUAUGAGAGGUCAUGAGUUUGAUGAUACAUACCAACAUUUUUUUGUGAAGACACAAUUAACAAAAGUGUGUGCAUUUGAUGUGGCGUGAUGACGCCAUGUCACUUGCCAAAUCAUCGCGACACAUGGCGAGAUGACAUGGAUUGCCUUGGAGUUUUAAUAAUAUAUAUAUAUAUAUAGAUUUGUUCAAGUGUUAGAUUUCAAUUCCUUUAAUGGUUAAUUGCAUACCUUUGGAUAAUAUGUUCAUUUUAUGUACAAUAUGUUCUUUUGAAAUGUAUGUGCUUUUAAGCUAUAAAAAUGUAUUUUUGAGAGGUUUAAAAUACGAUUCAGUUGCAUGUAGAUCUAAGCUAUAGUGGUGUCAAUAAUACCUUUAUACUUCAUAUAAAUUUAAUUAAACAUACCCUUAUUAGUAGAUGUGAUGAUGAGAUAAGACCAUCAAUUGUCACAUUUUGAUUAGUUGGACCAAACUGGUCUUAGGAAAAGACCUAACCUAUAGUAUGUCCUAUGUGUAGGCAUCUAGAUUUCUCAACAUAUACUAAAUUAUUAAAGGACCUUCUUUUAUGCUAGGUCCUCUUUAAAUCAAACUUUUCUUUCUUUGGUUAAAACUCUUUAUAACAAACUUGAUCCCACUGUGAUAACAUUGUAAAUUCAUUUCUAUCUAAUAAUAUACUCUAUACCAUUUCACCAUAUUUAAUGAUAUCAUAGAAAACGAUAAGCCCUUUUUACUUAAUUUAGUGUGAAUAAAGCAAAAUUGUCCCCAAUGUUUGGUGUCUUUUUUCAGUCCAAGAUUUGCAAAUCACCACUAUGGGAUAGUUUGCUCAAAAGUACUAGUCAAUUACAUUUGGGAAAAGAUUAUUUAUAAACAUUAGAACUUAUGGUUCUAUUUCCGUCUCAUUUCACUUGUUCCAUUUCUUUUAGUGAUGUCCCGUGCCUCGUUUCUUCUAUAUUUUUUUAUUAGUUGAGUCCUAUUAUUUAUCAACUCACUUUCUUCUCUAUACGUUUUCAUUUUCGCAAAAUUCUAUGCAAAAAAGCUUCAGAAUAAAUAAAAAGAGACGGAGAGAGUAAUAAAUUAAUUUUUAUUGCUUUUGGUGGAGAUUAGGUCCCUUUACUUCAAAAAGGAAAAUAUCCCAUGCACUCAAAGUACACAAAAUUGACUCAUCUUUAAAUUAAUUGGUGCUUACUUCACUAGAUAAGCAAAUCAAAAAGUUCGAUAAUGUGAGUGAUGUCCCAAUUUGAGUAGGGUCCCUAGAUACUCUAAUGUAACUCUCAAAACAAUUAGGAAUUAUAUAUAUUGGUCUGGUAUGGAAUGGGAACGAUUAAAGAAGCAUGCUUAGUGUCUUGGGAUUCUUUGUGCUGGUAAGAGUGUGCACAGGUAGGAACGUUAGCUAGUCUUGGGUGUGAUUUGAGAAUCCCCUCCGAUGCUCAAAUCAUAUAGCAUACCUUUCGCAAUAAAUGAAGCCCAUUUAUAUUGGUGGAUCGGAUACAUGGAGGGUACGAGCCAUUCCACAUGACCUUUUGACCUUUAUAACCAUCACAUCGCAUCAUUGACGUCUACCGAUAGGAAGGGAUCCUGACUAGAGCUUACUUCACCGGCUAACAGGGCAUUUGCUAGGUGAUGCCUUCCUGUCAUAUUUUUGUAAGGGUUACUAUCGGCAGGUUUAUACGUAUCCCGUAUAACUAGCCCCCUCGGAGUAAUUUCCAACGGCUAUACAUAAUUCUAAGCCUCUUUCUCAAGCAAGCCAAAAAAAAAACCAUUAGUAUAAAUUUCAUCUUAAAUUAGUGAAUAUUGCCCCUUUUUUGUAUUAGUAGUUUUCAUGAUUCUUCUUUCCAUUAUUAAUAAAGAUUAAUGCUCAACUAACUAGAUUUUUUGGUUUCAAAAAGGUUUUGGUUUUCCAGGUAUAAAGGAAAAUUCUUUAACGUUUAAUGGGUGGUCUUGUCAUAAGUUUGUGUUUGUGCUUAAAUAAAGCUCUUUUUUUAUGAAACAAGCUUGUGCCGAGGUCACAAAGGGAGAUAAUGACCCACUAUAAUUUAAAUUAAGGAUUUUUUGCCAAAAAGGACCUUUUAUAAGCAUAUUUUUGCGAGAAAGGACCUUUUAUGUCAAAAUUGGUGAAAUGGGACCUAAAAUACAACAUUUUUUGUUAAGUGGGACCUUUGCCCGGAUUCUUGGAGUCAACCCAAGUUUCUGGCGUUGACUUCGACACGUGGCAGCCGGAAACUGCCACGUGUCAAUAUCCUUAUUUAAAAAAUAAAAAAUAAAAAAAAAAUUUAUUUUUUUUCCCAAAAAUCAUCGUUUUACUGAAACAGUUUUACCCAAAAAAAAAAUCGAUUCUCGAUUCUCGAUUCUCUUCUCUCUCCUCUGCUCCUUCAACUCGACGCCAUUGUUGAAGAUUCAAGGUUGAAGGAAAGUGCUUCUUCACUCAAAUUGCUUGCCAAGAAUUGUUACUCAGGCCUCCACGAAUCAGAUUGACAAUGUCCCAUCAAAAAGCGAAAAUUUGGGGACUAAUUCAGUUUUACUUAGUGGUUGGUGUAGAAUGAAGAAUCUAAUGGAAGCUGGUGAAAUCUGGAACGAGAUGAUUGAUCAAGGUUUGAACCCAGAUGUUGUUACUCAUAACAUAAUGUUAGAUGGGUUGUUGAAGGUUAAUAAGAAAUCUGAUGCAAUCAAGCUUUUCGAGGUGAUGAAAGUUAAGGGUCCACCCCCAAAUGUUCGGACCUAUACUAUAUUGAUUAGGGAUUUGUGCAAGCAUUCAAAGUUGAAUGAAGCUGUUGCUUACUUUGAUGGGAUGACUUCUUCAGGUUGUAACCCAGAUGCUGUUGUAUAUACUUGUUUGAUUACUAGAUUUAGGAACCUUAAAAAGAUGGAUAUGGUGUUUGGUUUGUUAAAAGAGCUGAAGGAAAAGGGUUACCCACCUGAUGGGCAACUGUAUAAUGCUUUGAUUAAGUUGAUGAUGAAUAGAAGAAUGCCGGAUGAUGCAGUUCGUGUUUACAAGAAGAUGAUUCAGAGUGGAAUUGAGCCAACAAUUCAUACUUA